rnacentral:rRNA from 1 species
GACGAACGCUGGCGGCGUGCCUAAUACAUGCAAGUAGAACGCACAGUUUAUACCGUAGCUUGCUACACCAUAAACUGUGAGUUGCGAACGGGUGAGUAACGCGUAGGUAACCUGCCUGGUAGCGGGGGAUAACUAUUGGAAACGAUAGCUAAUACCGCAUCAUAUUAAUUAUUGCAUGAUAAUUGAUUGAAAGAUGCAAUUGCAUCACUACCAGAUGGACCUGCGUUGUAUUAGCUAGUAGGUGAGGUAACGGCUCACCUAGGCGACGAUACAUAGCCGACCUGAGAGGGUGAUCGGCCACACUGGGACUGAGACACGGCCCAGACUCCUACGGGAGGCAGCAGUAGGGAAUCUUCGGCAAUGGACGAAAGUCUGACCGAGCAACGCCGCGUGAGUGAAGAAGGUUUUCGGAUCGUAAAGCUCUGUUGUAAGAGAAGAACGGGUGUGAGAGUGGAAAGUUCACACUGUGACGGUAGCUUACCAGAAAGGGACGGCUAACUACGUG